rnacentral:tRNA from 1 species
GCCGAAGUGGUGGAACUGGCAGACACGCUAGGUUCAGGGUCUAGUGGGCGUAACGCCCUUGCGGGUUCAAAUCCCGCCUUCGGCACCA